rnacentral:rRNA from 1 species
GGGAGGUGGCAAGCGUUGUUCGGAUUCAUUGGGUGUAAAGGGCAUGUAGGUGGCUUUGUAAGUCGGGACGUGAAAUCCCUUGGCUUAACCAAGGAACUGCGUCUGAUACUGCUUAGCUUGAGUGCAGGAGAGGAAAACGGAAUUCCCGGUGUAAGGGUGAAAUCUGUAGAGAUCGGGAGGAACACCAGCGGCGAAGGCGGGUUUUCUGGACUGCAACUGACACUGAAAUGCGAAAGCUAGGGGAGCAAACAGAAUUAGAUACUCUGGUAGUCCUAGCCGUAAACGAUGGGUACUAGGUGUAGGCGAGCAAUCGUCUGUGCCGCAGUUAACACGUUAAGUACCCCACCUGGGGACUACGGCCGCAAGGCUA